GCCUGGGGUCAGGAAGACCUGAGUUCAAAUACAGAUUCAAACAUUUACUAGCUGUGUGACCCUGGGCAAGUUACUUAACCUCUGUUUGCCUCAGUUUCCUCAUCUGUAAAAUGAGGAUGAUAAUAGUACUUACCUCCUAGGGUUGUGAGGAUCAAAU
rnacentral:snoRNA from 1 species